rnacentral:other from 1 species
UUUGCCCUGCCAUGCGCGUGAUUAAGCAACUAAGUCCUAGAACCGUACUUCGUAUGAGGAGGGCUUAAAGCUCGCGGGGUGGCCGGCAGGCCUCCCAUNGUAGGAGGAAGCCGAAAGCCUCGGAGCCAGCCUAUACUUGUUGUUGGUGUUCGUAGGAACAGUUGCACACGGCAUUGGCGGGGCUUUU